AGGACGAACGCUGGCGGCACGCUUAACACAUGCAAGUCGAACGAGAUCCAAGGAGCUUGCUCCUGAAGAUCUAGUGGCGAACGGGUGCGUAACACGUGAGAAACCUGUCCCGAACUUGGGAAUAACAGUCGGAAACGACUGCUAAUACCGAAUAUCUUCGUAACGUCGCAUGGCGUAUCGAAGAAAGCCUUGUGCGGUUUGGGAGGGUCUCGCGGCCUAUCAGCUUGUUGGUGAGGUAACGGCUCACCAAGGCAUCGACGGGUAGCUGGUCUGAGAGGAUGAUCAGCCACACUGGGACUGAGACACGGCCCAGACUCCGUACGGGAGGCAGCAGUGGGAAUAUUGCACAAUGGGCGAAAGCCUGAUGCAGCGAUGCCGCGGUGGGAAGAAGGCCCGUAGGUUCGUAAACCGCUUUACGAGCGAGGAAGAAAUGACGUACUGCGAGAAGAGGU
rnacentral:rRNA from 1 species